rnacentral:rRNA from 1 species
GCGCGGGGGCAACCCUGGCGGCGAGCGGCGAACGGGUGAGUAAUACAUCGGAACGUGUCCCGUAGUGGGGGAUAGCUCGGCGAAAGCCGGAUUAAUACCGCAUAUGCUCUACGGAGGAAAGCGGGGGAACCGCAAGGACCUCGCGCUAUGGGAGCGGCCGAUGUCCGAUUAGCUUGUUGGUGGGGUAACGGCUUACCAAGGCGACGAUCGGUAGCUGGUCUGAGAGGAUGAUCAGCCACACUGGGACUGAGACACGGCCCAGACUCCUACGGGAGGCAGCAGUGGGGAAUUUUGGACAAUGGGGGAAACCCUGAUCCAGCCAUGCCGCGUGAGUGAAGAAGGCCUUCGGGUUGUAAAGCUCUUUUGGCCGGAAAGAAAAGGCUACGGAUAAUACCCGUGGUCCUUGACGGUACCGGCAGAAUAAGCACCGGCUAACUACGUGCCAGCAGCCGCGGUAAUACGUAGGGAGCAAGCGUUGUUCGGAUUUACUGGGCGUAAAGGGCGCGUAGGCGGCGCGGUAAGUCACUUGUGAAAUCUCUGAGCUUAACUCAGAACGGCCAAGUGAUACUGCAGUGCUAGAGUGCAGAAGGGGCAAUCGGAAUUCUUGGUGUAGCGGUGAAAUGCGUAGAUAUCAAGAGGAACACCUGAGGUGAAGACGGGUUGCUGGGCUGACACUGACGCUG